UGCAGGUACCAUCUGUGCAGGUUAUUAGGUGAAAAACGUUGUAGCCUUUUCCUCCCCAACAACGCAUACUCUUAGCUAGGGUUUCAACGCAUCUGACAGCUGAAGCUAGGGCGUCGCCACCGUCAAUGUCAUGGCACUCCCGCUCUGUUCACCAAUCGCAUCGACAGGUAACAGUCCAUCAUCUCCGUAUCACCUCCUUGGAUCCUCCUCCGUUCGGUGACUUCCACAGCAUGCCGCCAGGAGCCCUAUCCUCAAUCAUGUCUUUCCCGCCGAGCUACACACCUUCAUGAGCUCACCCCCUACUCCCACAAACGACGCCGGGUGACAAGGAGGAAAAGUAGUAAUGACGACAUGCAAACUGAAUAAGAUUAUGUAUUUUGAAUACGAUUCUAGAGAUGCACACGCUUUGUUCAUCAAUGCUGCUACGUUUUGAAACUUCAGCAUUUCAUUACUGCUACAAAUAUAUGUACACAAUAAUAUAAUCUCUAAGCUCCUCAUGUUGCUACAUUUGUAAACUUCAAUAUUUCAUUACUGCUACAAAUCUAUUUACAGUUCCAAUUGACUAUGGUAGCUUUCUUGCUUUAUGUUCUUGCCUUACCAGACUGAGCUAAAGUUUUAUUUAUUAAAUCGUGAUGCAAUGUUGCAUCAAUGCUGGACUUCGACAUUUGAAUUUUACGUGCACUCUGGUUUUUAUGUUGUUUACCGUCCAUCUUUCUCCUAAUCAAUAAAAUGCUUUGAUUACUAUUGACAUAAUGUAAACUUCAAUUUAUAUGUUGUUUAUUAUCCAUCUUUGGCCCUAUCCAUGAAAUUAUUUAAUUCCUGUUCAUAUAAUACUUAGAAGAAUGUUAUGUAAGCCUCGAAUUCUCUAAUUUGAGUUGCUAUCCAGUUUAACACAUUAAUUCAACUCGCGCAAAGCGCGAGCAAGUUACUAGUAAUGAAUAGAGGGGCUCAAAGACUAAUAUAAUCAGUGAUACUCUGACGCACCAUUUUUAUAUUUCACUUAAUUUCCCUAGUUUUAAUUAAGUACAGUUUCAUAAGAGCUCGAACAAAGUAUUACAUAAGAAAAUAUUCAGGUUGUCUUGGUUUGCACAAAGAAAAAGUUCAUGAGCUAAACUGCUGCUAAACCCUACAACUUUUUUAGUGCUUCAAUUCGUAAGAGUUCAUACAUUUCUAGUAACCACCAUGGUUACUGCUUACUCGAUGUAAACAACUAUGGCUCUAGUCCACCUUGGGUCUCUCUUGGUCUAGACGUUUGUGGUCGCUCUAGAGUGUUGAUCGAUAGUUUGAUGUUCAUCUCCAAAGGAUGGAUUACGACAAGACUACACAUCUAAAGGUGUUGUUUGGUUGUCUUUGUCGGUGACAAUGUUAAUGGAAUUAGGUUUCGGUGGGAUCUGUUGCAUUGUAAGACAAAGCGACAAUUUGUUUGGUCGUUCAUUUUUUUAAUGCUCAGAGUUGGUAGUGUAAUCAGUUAACGAUCAUACAUUGGCGAUACCAAAUUUUUAUAGCUCGUAUCUGUUUCCUCCGCUACCGGUAAUGUUGUUGGCUCAACCAAACCCCAAUUAAUGUAAUCUAUUACCACUGUAAAUGAAUAAGGCUGUCCACAACAAAUCGUGUAGAACAAGAGAUUUGUGCUGUAGAUAUAUCCUCACAUUCAAGUAAUCGAUAAGGCUCAACCAAUCCCCAAGUAAUGUGUUACACUAUUUACAUAGUGAAGUUGCAAAAAUGAUGAAACAAACAACACCAAAGUGUUAAUCCAUAGUGGACGAAUGGUUAUUUGAAUUCGUUAUCUGUUCAUGAUGUCUACGCUGAAUACAGAGGGAGGGAUUAUGUCCUCAUCUAUGUUCCCUAUUUAAUUAUAUUCUUGAUCUUUUUAAUAAUGGAAAGAAGAUCUGACUUUGUCUUCUUGAAAGAGGAACCAAAACAACUUAUUAUAAUCAAACUUUAUUGGGACAGUCAUAAAAUUUUGACAAAUCUACGAACAUAUGGUUAAUACAUUCCCACAAUAUUUAGGUGAGAUGAGUGAUUGUCAACGAGUUGAUCAGCUUUGUUUUAGUGUUGAUUAAUUUUAACAUGAGUUUUGGUGUAUCUACAGCUUGUGGCACGCAUAUGUGGAGCACAGAGAUGGAGCUCAACGGCGAAGAUAAGGUCAAUAGGAUUUGUGUCGAUGCACUAGAAGUGAUGUAGAAAUGGUCGUCAAGACUUAGAGUCGAGAACUAGAGAAGCCGAAAGACUAGCUAUGGUGGCUGAUGUCUGGGGAAAUCGAGAUAAGUACACGACGCAAACGCGUGCACCCGUGCGUCCACGUCGGCAAAAAAAAACAUGUGCGCAGGAUGUUCCAUCAACGGACGAGAUUUCUUCUCAGCCUCCCCGGGCCGCUGUAGACGCCUGGAGAAUUCUAGCAAUGUGCAGUUCAUAAAAAAAUCAACUCUUUUCUAGAAGGGCGUAUAAAUAGGCAUCGCGUGCCUAGCGUCGGCUACCGUGACUGCAGCGUCGGCGGCUGGGACCAGCGGCGGCUGUGCGUCCCCACUCUAGAAGCUUCGUUCGUCUUCACCAUCUGUGCAGGUACCAUCUGUGCAGGUUAUUAGGUGAAAAACAUUGUAGCCUUUUCCUCCCCAACAACACAUACUCUUAGCUAGGGUUUCAACGCAUCUGACAGCUGAAGCUAGGGCGUCGCCACCAUCAAUGUCAUGGCACUCCCGCUCUGUUCACCAAUCGCAUCGACAGGUAACAGUCCAUCAUCUCCGUAUCACCUCCUUGGAUCCUCCUCCGUUCGGUGACUUCCACAGCAUGCCGCCAGGAGCCCUAUCCUCAAUCAUGUCUUUCCCGCCGAGCUACACACCUUCAUGAG
rnacentral:lncRNA from 1 species